rnacentral:rRNA from 1 species
UGGGGAAUAUUGCACAAUGGGGGAAACCCCGAUGCAGCGACGCCGCGUGAACGAAGAAGGUAUUCGUAUCGUAAAGUUCUGUCCUAUGGGAAGAUAAUGACAGUACCAUAGAAGAAAGCUCCGGCUAAAUACGUGCCAGCAGCCGCGGUAAUACGUAUGGAGCGAGCGUUGUUCGGAAUUAUUGGGCGUAAAGGGUACGCAGGCGGUUUAAUAAGUCGAAUGUUAAAGAUCGGGGCGCAACCCCGCAAAGCAUUGGAAACUGAUAAACUUGAGUAGUGGAGAGGAAAGUGGAAUUCCUAGUGUAGUGGUGAAAUAAGUAGAUAUUAGGAGGAUUGCCAGUAGCGAAGGCGACGUUCUGGACACAAACUGACGCUGAGGUACGAAAGCGUGGGGAGCAAACAGG